rnacentral:rRNA from 1 species
AUUGAACGCUGGCGGCAGGCCUUACACAUGCAAGUCGAACGAGUGGCGGACGGGUGAGUAAUAUCUGGGAACCUGCCCGAUGGAGGGGGAUAACUACUGGAAACGGUAGCUAAUACCGCAUACCAUCGGAUGUGCCCAGAUGGGAUUAGCUAGUAGGUGGGGUAACGGCUCACCUAGGCGACGAUCCCUAGCUGGUCUGAGAGGAUGACCAGCCACACUGGAACUGAGACACGGUCCAGACUCCUACGGGAGGCAGCAGUGGGGAAUAUUGCACAAUGGGGGCAAGCCUGAUGCAGCCAUGCCGCGUGUAUGAAGAAGGCCUUCGGGUUGUAAAGUACUUUCAGCGGGGAGGCGGUACCUGCAGAAGAAGCACCGGCUAACUACGUGCCAGCAGCCGCGGUAAUUC